rnacentral:rRNA from 1 species
ACUCCUACGGGAGGCAGCAGUGGGGAAUUUUGGACAAUGGGGGCAACCCUGAUCCAGCCAUGCCGCGUGAGUGAAGAAGGCCUUCGGGUUGUAAAGCUCUUUCGGCCGGGAAGAAAUCGCGCCAGCUAAUACCUGGUGUGGAUGACGGUACCGGAAGAAGAAGCACCGGCUAACUACGUGCCAGCAGCCGCGGUAAUACGUAGGGUGCGAGCGUUAAUCGGAAUUACUGGGCGUAAAGCGUGCGCAGGCGGCUCUAUAAGACAGAUGUGAAAUCCCCGGGCUUAACCUGGGAACUGCGUUUGUGACUGUAGGGCUUGAGUGCGGCAGAGGGGGGUGGAAUUCCACGUGUAGCAGUGAAAUGCGUAGAGAUGUGGAGGAACACCGAUGGCGAAGGCAGCCCCCUGGGUCGACACUGACGCUCAUGCACGAAAGCGUGGGGAGCAAACAGGAUUAGAUACCCUGGUAGUC